GGUAGGGAGAACACGUCAAUGUAAGGGUGGGGUCAUCUAAGAUAGCACAAGGGCUAAACCUGUCUUUUAAAGUGGCAUUGCACAGCAGUGAGCAGAUUUUCCCAUCUCUUAGAUGGGCGUGAUCACAACUUUCACCCAGCUGCUUCUCUUGUUUGAAAGCGGAGUGCUUUGUCAUGCUUUUGUUGUGCUGAUCAGCUGUUGGAGAAUCUAAUUGGGAGAAUGGGAAAUGAAGUUUUCGGUUUAUCUGACAUCCAAAUACAUUCAAAUAAAAACCAAUUAAAACCAUACUCAGCCAGAUGUAAAUAUUGUUUGAAUUUUUCUUUAGCAGGUAUACUGUUGCAGAGUUUUGUUUACCCCUUUGUUUUUAAGGUGCUUUCAUUAGUCACUGGGCCAGUCAAGCAAUCAAGAAAUGCUGCAAAGUUUAAUACAUUUUUUUGGUCUGAUUUGCGUAACUAUUGUCACUCCUAGAAUUACUGUAACUCUUCUACCGUUAUGUUAUUUAAUUGCACAAACGAUCAAACAGUUAUGGUAAUUCAGAGAGCGUGUGUUAUUUCCUCACCGCCAACGACAGUUCUGGUGUUAAAAGGGUUAAAAAAAGAACUAAUCCAUCUCAAACCUCAUGUGUCAGCUUCUCGUUUGGGGGGCAGUAUUUUUUAAACAAACACUAACCAGGAAGGCAAAAAAAAAGAACAAAAUGUAUUGUUCUGAAAGCCAUCCUCACAACAACACAUUUUCUGAUGAGAUAUUUUGUAGCCUAUGUUUAUUUUGUUUUGUUAUUUAUUUGUUUCCUUUACUUUAACUCUUUGAUCUGCGGAACCACAACAUGGUUCACUUGCAAGCCUGUCAAAACCCCUAUUUCCAGGUGGACCAGAUUUAGGCAGAGUUCAGGUGAACUGGAACACUUUGCCAAACAAAACAGACCAUCCAAGGAACAAAAUUAUUGAGCAGGCAAAAAAUUCCGGUGUGAAAGAGAUUUAAGAGAUGAUAUGCGGCACAAGAAACCAUUCUUCCUUUAUUCUGAACAGAGAAACAAUUCAAAAUGUGAUAAAAAAAAAAAAAAAACAGCCCGACGGCCAAACUCACUUUGGAGAGAAAAUAUCACUUUAAUUCUGGUCCUAACGUGCUUGUUGUUAGGAUUUCUAUUUUAAAUUGAGUACUUUGAAAAUUGCUGAAAUAUUCUUGCUCACACCACAGUCUUGUUCUGUAGAACAUCCCCAUCAAACUGUGUCCAACUGCAACUAAGCAACACUUUCUCUGGUGGGCUUCACAGCUUGUGGAUGCAGAUCAACCACCUACCGCAGACAGAGCUGCGUCUCCCACACAAAACAACAACAAGAAAAGCUCAAAUACAUUUUUUCAUGUGUCAACUAACACCGACUUUUUACAGCAUUUUGCAAAGGAGACGAAGAAACUUUUCUUUCCUGCAAAAAGGUGCGUCGAAAUAAAAGGUCUGUCUAGUUUUGACGAAAAUGAUUUUAAUCCUAAUGUAGAAAAAAGUGAAUUAUCAUAAAAGCCAUUAUCUUUUGUUUACUGAGCGCAAAAUCGACAUUGUUCUAGAUAUAUCUGUCCUCAGAGAACUUAUUAGGGUGGUAGUUAGCAGUUCUUACAAAGCAAACACAACGGGGACUGUAAGUCAUUCUCCAUGAGACGUAUAUGAAAUCCCCCUCAAAGUUUCAUCGCAUAGCUUCAAAGGAAAACCUAACAAAGAUAAAAGACUCAGAGGAAAUUUAAUUUAGCUUCACAUACUUAAUUUAUUUUCCAGCAUCCGUUUCAAACACUCCAUUUCUGUGUCGUUCCAUUCAAAUCUGAUAAAAAUAUCCAGUAUUUCACACCGUUUCAAAUCUCCUCUGCCUCUGUUAUGUCUGUGGAAUGAAGUCAAGCCCCCAUCUCCUGCUCUGCCCAACUUUAUGCUUCAGUUAUAAUACCUGUUCCUUCUUGCUGGUUUAUUAUUUCUGUUCAGGUAGUGGGGUUCCUUAAGGUGACGAAUGGGCCUUUUUCCCUUAAUGGCUGAGUUUCCUGGUAGUGGAAUAUUCCAUCAAUGAGCUGAAGAAGAGUCACGACUGAAUGUAGGUAAGCCAUGUGGCAAGAUGACAAGUGUCAGCAACCACGAAAAAGCUGGGACAGCAAAUUGGUCCUGAAUCGAUGAGUGGGAGGACUCCGGGAAAUCUGAGCUCAUUUCCUCCCUGGUUAAGGUCCAGUAAACACAAGGGCUGUACAUCAACACUCAGGCCUUUACUGCACAUCACACGGCUGUAAAGGAGGGUUUACAUGCACUUAGUGUGAUGAAAAAAAAAUAAAAAUAGUUGAGGCAAAGGUAGGAGAGAUGGCAGAAUUUCAAUCCCUAAUUCUUGUGCUUGACAGUGCCGCAGCGUCCACGCGUCUACGUCACAAUCUAAAUUUGCCGAUCUGUUGGAAGGAUUGCAGGACACAGCUGAGUCCUGCAGAGAGGCUGUGUCUGGGCCACUGAACAUUUCCACUGUGCUGAGCACCACUGGGCAAUGGCCAUCUGCUUUUUGUAGCUCAGUGCUCAGGCAAAGCUACAAGAAAAGAAAAGAGUUUCCUGUGGCAGCUCUCCUAAUCAAUCAGGAGUCAGUAUUGAUUCUUCAAUAAUCUCCAGCAUAGUCACACUUCUGGCCUCCUCCAGCAAGAACAGGAACACAGGAUUUUGCUUUGGCUUCAUGGAGUUUCUCCAUAAAGAAAACAAAAACAACUGCAGCCCGUUUUCACUUUUUGAGUUACCACAUCAGCAUACUGUACCACACACAAGAUAAACAAAUAGACCUCACGCAGCUGAAGCCGAACACAAUCUCAUCUUUUCUGUCCAGCUGGACUUGUUAUCACCUGCGACGGACAGUUUUUCCCAUGCUGCUCUCUUUACUGUCCAGCUGUAAACCUCCUCUCACUCACAGCGGGCCGACAAUUAAUCAGUGCUUUGUUGGCUGGAUGGCUCUCAUUCACUGUAGCUGCUGUGCUCAGCAAAAAGGUAAAACAAAAAAGGAGCAAAGAAUCUGUUUGAGACUACGCUAACAUGGAUGGAACCAGAAGUGAUCUCUGACAGAAGCCUUUUUUUGAAUGGAAUUUUGACGCAAUUUCAUGUAGAGUGGAAGGCAGAGCCACACACACAGUCACCAUAUUGACAUCACAUUAGAAAGUACUUUUCUCAUCACUAAACUUGUUUCUUAUCUUUCCAAACUUAUAUUACAUCUCCUUACCCAUUCUCUUUAUUCCUCUAUCAAAAGGUGAAAAGUACAUGUCUGAAUCAUUUUUAAUAGUGAAAAAAUAGGAAUUCUUUUUCAACUACUGUAUGUUUUUGAUGAUGAAACACAACUGUAAUGACACCUCACAUAUUAUAAUAUAAUUAUGCAUUAAAUUAUGUGAUUCAAACAAGGCAGAAAGGUCUGAAAACUAAAAUAAAAGACAUAUUAGAUCAGAAUAUAAAGUCAAAAGAACUAAAGCUGAAGAGAGCUGAGCAGAGGAACUAUAUACCGGAAGGCAUAACUGGGUGAAAACACUGUGAUAGUAUAUAACCAAACCCAAGGAAAUACAGACAAAAAAUACAGGAAGAACAUAAAUAAAAACGGAUAUUUUACUAAAUGAGCAUAAAAACAUUCAAACACAGACACGCACACACCCACACACACACACACACACAGACAGAAACCCUUACAAAAUGAAAACACAAAAAAGUCUAACUUCCCUGUUGUAGAAGUGUCAAGACAAAACUUUUUGCAUGACACUAUAUUGCAUGCGUCCAGAGACAGAAGCGCAAACUUGUACAGAAUUGGAGCCAAAAGGGACUCUGAUAAUUGCAUUUAUAACUAAGUACCAAGCAAUUAAUUUUGCAGCAAAGUACACAACUUGAUUUCCAAUUAACAGAUGAUUACAGCAGUGAAAAGCAAGUAAUGGGUUCCCUUGUUUAUUUAGUGAGCCAUGGUGAACAAGAUCACAGGAUUCACCCCCGUGCCAGACAGUGAUGAUAUCCUGUCCUCUAAAAGGAAACAAAGUUUGUUUGGCAAUUAUGAAAAGUUAAAUAAGACUGCUAGGACAUAUCUUUGUAAGAAUAAUAGACAGGGCUAAAGAGGACCGAAUAUUUUUUUAUACUGUGUCGUGUGAAGAAUUAGAUUAUGGUAUGUGCCAUAUUUGGGCCUUUUUUAGAGCACAGGGAAUGCAGUGCACAGUAGCACAGCAACACAGCAAGGCAAGACAGCUGAAUUCCCUGGACGACGGCCAAUUCCCUGCAGGUACACGGCAGUUACUUUAGGUUGUGGUGGUAAAAACCAAGAUACUACUAGGUGUAAUAAAUGAGAGUAACCCUCUGGAAAUCUCAUCUUUGAUGCUAAGAUUUGUUUGAAUAUGAGAAAGCAGGGGGGACAUUUUAGAAGCUGCAGAGGCAUAUUUUAUCUUGGCUGCACUAAGAUUUGUUUUGCAUACUUCUGCUCCAACUGCUAAGCUGUGAGUUAUCUGAUGAGCAACAUAAAACUUUGCUUGGCAUAUCUUUUCUGCUACUGUGGUAACUCACACCAGAGAACCAGGCAUCUGUUAAAUACUGUGUUCUUUUAGUUGGACUUGGAAAGUAUUCAUUUCCCCACUUUUCCUUUAUCAGUAAAACUGUUUUUUAAGACUCUUCUGGCUUUGACACAUGUUGCAAAUCAAUUGAUUAUGUUAACAAUUAUUGGUUUAGUUACUUUACUGCAGACACAUUUAAACAUUCAUUAACAACAGUUUUAGUGUCAAAAUAAAAUACUUUUUUUCCAAUUGUUUUUGAGUUUUUCUUGUUUGUCUUUACUUUGCAAUUACUUUCAAUGCAUUAAUCCAUUGCUCAAAGAAUUAAUAGAUUUUCAGCAUAAUCAGCCCUGAUCUGCAAAGGUUGACUGUGUCCCAAGUUUUCAUAUUUUUUUCAUGGUUACAUCUAUGUAAAUAAAUCACUCAACUGUGCUUAAAGGUUUUUGACGGCAGACAAAUGGCUUCCUUAUGAAACCAUCCUCCAGUGAUUUUUUGGGGAACUACACCAUUUGGCAGUUUGCUUUGUACCUACAAAAACACUUGUGGGUUUUCAGUCAUUUAAGAUCUUACAGAACAAAAAAGUAGGAUUAGCAAAAAAAUUGUACCAUCUUUAGCUCACAAUCUAUAAAAAAAAAAGUAUUCAAUGAGAAAGAUAUCUAGAAAAUAUGACACAUGUUUGAAAGAGCUGCUUCCCAGUUAUAAUUCAAAUAUAAAGUCAUGUUUUUUUUUCUUCCACUUAGAAAUUGCUAAAAAUCCUCUGUAAAGGUAUUUAAAUACAUUGAGAUCCUUUAAACUGUCUCAAAGGUUUGUUUACUUUGAGUAUUUACCCUUUGAUAACUAACAGAAGGCGGUUCUGGAGGUUAGCACUUUUGCCUAAUUAUACAAUUGGAAUUGUGGUUAAAAAUCUCUUUCAUGGAGAAAUGACAUGGUUUUUCCUGACUGUGUUUUGUUCGCAACAUGGCUUCAUUUCAUAACAUUUCAAUUUAAAAGAAAUUAAGGAAAAAGGAAACCAUUUGAAAAUAUUUAGGAUCAUUAUAAGGCAAGAACAGAGGGACAACUAGUUUGACUUACCUAAACCCAUUAAACAACGGCAGAUAAUUUUUAGAAACAGACUGAUAAUAUGAACUACACACAUUUAAUAUCCUUUUAGAGUUAUUACGAGAUGCCAUUUAGAGUCUUCUCUGGACUGCAUUGUGGAUCAUUAGUGGAGGCGAGCUAGAAAAUUAUGUUUCCAUCUCUGUUUGAUCUUUAAAGGUCCAGAAAUACAAAUAAAAGAACAUGCAGCCCACUGCAACAGUACAGAGGACUGGAGAAUGGGCUCCAUAAUCACGAGAUGAGUGUGUUUUCAACACUUAUCAGAGGAAAAUCCUAUUUUUUCAUCACUUUCUGACAUACUGAUCCUGCCUCAUUCGGUUGCUUGUCAAAAAGCAGCUUUUAUGAAGCAUCAUCUGAAAAACUGCAUCACACAACCAGCUUUGCUAAAUAAACCCUUCUUGUUUUGGGAACAAUCCAAUCCAAGCAGAAACCACGAUUUAUUCACCAGAACACCAUGCAGCCCAAUGGUGCAUUCUCGCUGUGUUUCGAUAUUUCAAUCUAUUCCAUUUGAAUUGUUCAAGACUCAUUUAUCAAGGCCUUCAAGUAGGACAGGAUUUAGCAUUUCUUACCUUUCCAGGUGAAGCUAACAUGUUCAUUUGUUUGGUAUUUCUCACAAAAAAGCAAGAUUUGGUACAUUAUUUGUUGUAUUUAAUUGUCCUGCGCUAUAUGAAUUGUCCUAGGAGGUGCGCUGUGCCUUUUAUUCAUGCAUGAUGCUUUGAGACUCCUCAUGACAGAACAGGAGGAAGCAGAGAGCGGAAACUGACUGAUAGCAACAGCAGACAAGGAACUCAGAAGGUGGUGAGUUGGGCUUGUCAAAAAUAAGGGCACAGCAUGAGUGAGGAGGAGUUAUGCGAAAUUUACUCAGUGCUUCCAGAUUCCAGUUGGCUCAUCCGUGCUCCUGUACCGGACCGUUUACCUCGUCUCUGGCUCGCCUCUACUACUGCUCCUACACCUGGCUGUGGAUCCUGUCUCCGGCUCAACUCGCGCCCCCGGCUGUCCCCCAACUCCGUCUGGAUGAAACUCGUCUGCUGGACUUUAAAUAUGUAGUUGUAGAGUUAGAUAAGUUAGUUCUUCUCUAAGAGUUCUGGUACAUCACCUGU